CAUUUCCUAUGUUUUAAACUAUGCAGCUGUAGAGCCUAGGAUGGGGAAUAUCUAACUCUCAGCUUUCUUCAGCCCAAGGUGGAAAUGUUCUCCCAUUUCCAAGACCAGCAGAGCACCCUGUAUCCUACAUGAGAGCACCCACCUCUUCUUUUCAAGCCAAGCCAUGAAAACAAAGGAGAACCGAGCAGCAGCCAGAAAGCUGAUGAGUUGACUGGCAUCAGAGACUGUCCAAACCAAGGAGUCAGAUGGAAAGGACCACGAGGGAAAUUGGGCUGCAUACCCAAGAGAAGGCUUUGAAACAAUGCAAUCCCAUUUUCACAACGUCCAGCAUGGAGAUGUGAUGUCCAAAUCUCCAGUACCACUGUGCUUGCACAGGCAGAGCCUUGCCAGCUUUUCAGUCAGGCUGAGGCUGAAUUUGCCACAAGAGCAAGUCCUAGGAUGUGCAUUCAAGACGAGGAACAGGACCUUGUCCCACAGAGAACUUUUCCACCAAGCAAGCCCAGGGUGUCAGACUAGGAGCCUGUUUCUGUUUUCUGCAUUACAUUCAGCUCAAUCAAUCAUUCAAUGGCUUCCAUCCUUAUUUUUCCUCUGUCCUUUCCAGUCAGACUUUGUUCUCUUCAGACUGGUGGUGGGUUUGUGCCUGGUACAGAGGGUGCUCACCUGAGCCAGGGACAUGAUGGUUGCUGUCAUGCUAAUCAUAAUUUUCCUCAGAAAGGAAAUAGCAAAUGCCUUUGUGUCUUGUUCUCCUGCCCUUGUGCUCCCAGACCCCUGCUCUGAGGACAGGACACUUCCCCUCUGCCUCCUUUUGCUCUGAUUUGCCUUGCCUUCCCCAAGCCCUACUGCUAACUGCACUCUCACUGAUUAUUUUCUUUUCAGAGGCUGUAAACUUCAGUUCCUGCUCAGCUUGCAUUAGUGUCAGAGAAGUAUCUCUUGGCUGUUUACAGAAGAGAAAAUGGAAAGAUGAGCAUUAUUUCAUGUGAAAUAUGGUAGAGAGCCUAUGCUGAGUUUCUCUGUGAGGCCUGAGGCUCCAGCUACCUGAAGAAGCUGGUGAAAGCAUCCGUCAUCUGGUGAUUCAUCUCCCCCUGCCAUGGCUCUGGCCCUGCUCUGCGUGGGUGUCUCACAGCUCUCAUCAACUCUGGUUUUGAUGCAGACCAGGAGCUGCUGGGCUGUUCGCCCAAGUUUAUCUUGUAUGAAAGAGUUUGCUUGCUUUUCAAUUGUCUGGUGUUCUCCUGAAGAUGUAAAUUAAAAAAAAUAAAAAAAAAAAUAAAAAAAACAGGUUUUCUUGUAGAUUGCUUUUCAGCUGUUUCUACUAGGAGUGAGAAAAUGGGGAUUGGUGCUCAAGGGAUGUCUCUGGUGCGAGGUCAUACCAGUCCAAUCCCUUCUUGGAAAGAG
ensembl:lncRNA